UUAAGCGACUAAGCGUACACGGUGGAUGCCCUGGCAGUCAGAGGCGAUGAAGGACGUGCUAAUCUGCGAUAAGCGUCGGUAAGGUGAUAUGAACCGUUAUAACCGGCGAUUUCCGAAUGGGGAAACCCAGUGUGAUUCGUCACACUAUCAUUAACUGAAUCCAUAGGUUAAUGAGGCGAACCGGGGGAACUGAAACAUCUAAGUACCCCGAGGAAAAGAAAUCAACCGAGAUUCCCCCAGUAGCGGCGAGCGAACGGGGAGCAGCCCAGAGCCUGAAUCAGUAUGUGUGUUAGUGGAAGCGUCUGGAAAGGCGCGCGAUACAGGGUGACAGCCCCGUACACAAAAAUGCACAUGCUGUGAGCUCGAUGAGUAGGGCGGGACACGUGGUAUCCUGUCUGAAUAUGGGGGGACCAUCCUCCAAGGCUAAAUACUCCUGACUGACCGAUAGUGAACCAGUACCGUGAGGGAAAGGCGAAAAGAACCCCGGCGAGGGGAGUGAAAAAGAACCUGAAACCGUGUACGUACAAGCAGUGGGAGCACAGAGCAAUCUGUGUGACUGCGUACCUUUUGUAUAAUGGGUCAGCGACUUAUAUUCUGUAGCAAGGUUAACCGAAUAGGGGAGCCGAAGGGAAACCGAGUCUUAACUGGGCGUUAAGUUGCAGGGUAUAGACCCGAAACCCGGUGAUCUAGCCAUGGGCAGGUUGAAGGUUGGGUAACACUAACUGGAGGACCGAACCGACUAAUGUUGAAAAAUUAGCGGAUGACUUGUGGCUGGGGGUGAAAGGCCAAUCAAACCGGGAGAUAGCUGGUUCUCCCCGAAAGCUAUUUAGGUAGCGCCUCGUGAAUUCAUCUCCGGGGGUAGAGCACUGUUUCGGCAAGGGGGUCAUCCCGACUUACCAACCCGAUGCAAACUGCGAAUACCGGAGAAUGUUAUCACGGGAGACACACGGCGGGUGCUAACGUCCGUCGUGAAGAGGGAAACAACCCAGACCGCCAGCUAAGGUCCCAAAGUCAUGGUUAAGUGGGAAACGAUGUGGGAAGGCCCAGACAGCCAGGAUGUUGGCUUAGAAGCAGCCAUCAUUUAAAGAAAGCGUAAUAGCUCACUGGUCGAGUCGGCCUGCGCGGAAGAUGUAACGGGGCUAAACCAUGCACCGAAGCUGCGGCAGCGACGCUGAUGCGUUGUUGGGUAGGGGAGCGUUCUGUAAGCCUGUGAAGGUGUGCUGUGAGGCAUGCUGGAGGUAUCAGAAGUGCGAAUGCUGACAUAAGUAACGAUAAAGCGGGUGAAAAGCCCGCUCGCCGGAAGACCAAGGGUUCCUGUCCAACGUUAAUCGGGGCAGGGUGAGUCGACCCCUAAGGCGAGGCCGAAAGGCGUAGUCGAUGGGAAACAGGUUAAUAUUCCUGUACUUGGUGUUACUGCGAAGGGGGGACGGAGAAGGCUAUGUUGGCCGGGCGACGGUUGUCCCGGUUUAAGCGUGUAGGCUGGUUUUCCAGGCAAAUCCGGAAAACUAAGGCUGAGGCGUGAUGACGAGGCACUACGGUGCUGAAGCAACAAAUGCCCUGCUUCCAGGAAAAGCCUCUAAGCAUCAGGUAACAUCAAAUCGUACCCCAAACCGACACAGGUGGUCAGGUAGAGAAUACCAAGGCGCUUGAGAGAACUCGGGUGAAGGAACUAGGCAAAAUGGUGCCGUAACUUCGGGAGAAGGCACGCUGAUAUGUAGGUGAAGUCCCUCGCGGAUGGAGCUGAAAUCAGUCGAAGAUACCAGCUGGCUGCAACUGUUUAUUAAAAACACAGCACUGUGCAAACACGAAAGUGGACGUAUACGGUGUGACGCCUGCCCGGUGCCGGAAGGUUAAUUGAUGGGGUCAGCGCAAGCGAAGCUCUUGAUCGAAGCCCCGGUAAACGGCGGCCGUAACUAUAACGGUCCUAAGGUAGCGAAAUUCCUUGUCGGGUAAGUUCCGACCUGCACGAAUGGCGUAAUGAUGGCCAGGCUGUCUCCACCCGAGACUCAGUGAAAUUGAACUCGCUGUGAAGAUGCAGUGUACCCGCGGCAAGACGGAAAGACCCCGUGAACCUUUACUAUAGCUUGACACUGAACAUUGAGCCUUGAUGUGUAGGAUAGGUGGGAGGCUUUGAAGUGUGGACGCCAGUCUGCAUGGAGCCGACCUUGAAAUACCACCCUUUAAUGUUUGAUGUUCUAACGUUGACCCGUAAUCCGGGUUGCGGACAGUGUCUGGUGGGUAGUUUGACUGGGGCGGUCUCCUCCUAAAGAGUAACGGAGGAGCACGAAGGUUGGCUAAUCCUGGUCGGACAUCAGGAGGUUAGUGCAAUGGCAUAAGCCAGCUUGACUGCGAGCGUGACGGCGCGAGCAGGUGCGAAAGCAGGUCAUAGUGAUCCGGUGGUUCUGAAUGGAAGGGCCAUCGCUCAACGGAUAAAAGGUACUCCGGGGAUAACAGGCUGAUACCGCCCAAGAGUUCAUAUCGACGGCGGUGUUUGGCACCUCGAUGUCGGCUCAUCACAUCCUGGGGCUGAAGUAGGUCCCAAGGGUAUGGCUGUUCGCCAUUUAAAGUGGUACGCGAGCUGGGUUUAGAACGUCGUGAGACAGUUCGGUCCCUAUCUGCCGUGGGCGCUGGAGAACUGAGGGGGGCUGCUCCUAGUACGAGAGGACCGGAGUGGACGCAUCACUGGUGUUCGGGUUGUCAUGCCAAUGGCACUGCCCGGUAGCUAAAUGCGGAAGAGAUAAGUGCUGAAAGCAUCUAAGCACGAAACUUGCCCCGAGAUGAGUUCUCCCUGACUCCUUGAGAGUCCUGAAGGAACGUUGAAGACGACGACGUUGAUAGGCCGGGUGUGUAAGCGCAGCGAUGCGUUGAGCUAACCGGUACUAAUGAACCGUGAGGCUUAACCUU
rnacentral:rRNA from 1 species